UUUCAGUUUCAGAAAUAAGUUUGAAAGCGAUUCUGUAUCCUGGCUGGCAGUUAUGCCAGGGAUCGAAUCCAGUCCUGACCUCUCCACAAGUUAUACAGCCGAGAGACAAACACAAACGGCCAAGUUAAUGUUUAAGGGCUAGAAAGCAGUGAUUCUCUUCUGUCAAUUGGUUUUGAUAUGGGCAGAACAGGAAGGAGAGAUUUCCUGCUUUAACAUUUGACAGAGAGGGAAAAAAAGCCAACCAUCUUUAAAAAGCAAUGCUAAAUAAUGUUAACGAUGUUCAGAAUGAUGUUUGGUUGAUUGUCAGCUUUUGUGAAGAUAAUCUGAAGACUGAUGUGGCUUUGACUGUUUGAUUUUGAAGCCUAAAGAGGAAGGAAUGGAAAAGCCCAUCCUGGGGAGGAAGAGGAAAAAGCUCUGUAUUUAGAGAAGCAGCUCCUAAUCCAGUGUAAAACCAGGGUGGACACUCGUUCAGUCUCACUGUGCCAAGGUGACCAGUGCUGGGGCUCGGCGGGAUCCCUGCCUUUGGAUCUGAUCUGGAUUCUGAAUCUCCUGAGUUCUUGGACUCGUGCUCCUCAGCCACGUUUAUCCUUUUGCUAUGCUGGAUUUUCAUUGUCAACACAGUUUGUGUAACAAAGACUGCAUAACUCAUAUCUGCAAUGACAUGUAAGUUCUCAAGGAGUUACAAGGAAAAUCUGUCUUCAUGGAGUUCAUUUCAGCUGUACUAAAGUAUAAGAGCUAGAACUCAGAACCCUG